rnacentral:rRNA from 2 species
UUAAAUUGAAGAGUUUGAUCAUGGCUCAGAUUGAACGCUGGCGGCAGGCCUAACACAUGCAAGUCGAACGGUAACAGGAAGAAGCUUGCUUCUUUGCUGACGAGUGGCGGACGGGUGAGUAAUGUCUGGGAAACUGCCUGAUGGAGGGGGAUAACUACUGGAAACGGUAGCUAAUACCGCAUAACGUCGCAAGA